rfam:Fukomys damarensis contig125365, whole genome shotgun sequence.
AGAUGUGAGGGCGAUCUGGCUGCAACGUCUGUAACCCCAUUGAUUGCCAGGGUUGAUUCGGCUGAUCUGGCCGGCUAGAGGGGUGUCCCCUUCCUCCCUCACCGCUCCAUGUGCGUCCCUCCCGAAGCUGCCCGCUCAGUCGAAGAGGACAACCGCCCUCAUGGAGGAGGACCGUUUCCUUGGUCAAGGGUAUACAAGUAGCUGCGCUCGCGAUAGAACCUCCAAACAAGUUCUCAAGGAUCAAGGCCCACAAACCUAGCUCCCUAUGUUUGCUUCCUGCUUUGAGGCUCUUGGACACACCACGCCUGUUUG